CGGAAUUAAAACAAAGCCUUUUGUGUAAAUGAUGGCUCUUCUGGAUCCGUUGCUCUCAGUGUUUCUCCACAAAAUGCACCCCUGGUACUGCAUAAGGGUGAGCGGUUGGUUGCUCCUGCUUGGUAGGAGGCAUCCUGCCUGUGGUAGGACUGAAUGAUUCUUAUCUCUGCUUCUUGUCAGCUCUUGUCAUGGAAGAUUAAGCCAUCUCACAUAUCCCACCUCCACCAAGACUUUGUGCAAGGAGAGAUCCUCAAGGCAGAACACUGCCUGGUUCUCCUCACCUCAGUCUCUACCCAGAUUUCUGAAGGUCUUCUGUCUGCUUUGGCAUCGUGGUCUUGUGGCCUUCCCUGCCUUGCUCUCUGGGGCACAUCGGGGAGCAUGAAGGCAGUCCCAAACGCACCCUUGCAUCUGUCCUUCUCCAUAAGUGAUGGAUCUGCAGGACUGGGGAGUAGAAUGUGUCAGGUUCAGCAAACAGCUGUGAGCAGUGGUUUGGUGACAUGGCUCGUGUUCUUGAGAUUUGCAUUAAGACAGGAGGUUGGGAAUCACACUCCGAGAGGUGUCUGCCCCUGUCACUGCGUUCCCAAAAUUUUGAUCAUACUCCAGGCCUCACCAAACCCAGGCUGGCAUGGUGACAUCCGUACCUGUCCAGUUUUGGGCCCCUCACGGUAAGAAAGACAUCGAGGCCCUGGAGCGCGUCCAGAGGAGGGCAACAAAGCUGGUGAGGGCUCUGGAGCACAGGCCUUAUGAAUUGUAAUUGAAGGAGCUGGGAUUGUUCAGUCUAGAGAAGAGGAGGCUCAGGGGAGACCUUAUUCUCUAUAACUACCCGAAGGGAGGCUGUGGUGAGCUGGGGGUCAGCCUCUUCUCUCGUGUGACAGUGAUAGGACGAGAGGGAAUGGCUUCAAGCUGCACCACGGAAGGUUCAGGCUGGACGUUAGGAAAUACUACUUGUCUGAAAGGGUGGUCAGGCACUGCAAUGGGCUGCCCAGAGAGGUGGUGGAGUCACCGACCCUGGAGGUGUUCAAAGAGCGUUUGGAUGCUGUGUUGAGGGACGUGGCUUAGCGAGAACCAUCGGUGAUGGGAGAACGGUAGGACUGCUGCCUUCCGGGCAUCAUCGCCUUCGGUGGAAGCUCUUGUGCGCUCAGGAACGGCAAACGCCACCCGCUUUCGCAGAGCUCAAGGGCAGACGAGUCGGAACGCCCUUGGAACGAAGGCGUUUCCUCGAGAAGAGCCAAGCCCCGCCCCGUCCCCCCGGGCUCACCCCGGUCCCAGUGGCGGUCCCCAGGCUCCGUGCCGCUCUUUUCUCCGUCUCUGCUGCCACCGCGUGAGCGAAGCGCGGAACUGCAGCCGAAACUGUCGGGACCGCCGUGGCGGCGCUUUGAGUUAUGGGCGGUGGGGGGUCAUACGAGCUGUGGGAGCACUCUGGGCGCUCUGGACCCUCCCCCGGGGCCCGCACAGUCCCGCAGAGCACCACCGAGGCCUCCCGGAGCUGCGCAACGCGUCGCUCCGCUGUCUCCGCUCUGUACCGCCCGCCUCUGCGACAACAGACCCCCGCCAGGCCUCGGGAAACCCGGAAGUAGCGCCUCUUCGCUCGGACUGCUCCGUGCCGUCAGCCCCGCCAUCUCUAUGCUCUACUGGAGUCAGGUCCCUGCGCUGGAUGCAGAUGGAAAAGGUGGAGAGCCCAAGCCCUGCUUUUGGAAGGAUACAUCUAGAGGGACAGGAAGGGACGUGGAGAGCAUGACAUCGUUCAGCAAAGGUUGGCACUCUUCACCAUUAUGCUGUUAUGCUUCUGGGAGCUCAGCACACCUUCCUGGAGGAGUUCCUUCAUGGUCCCACUCACAUUACAGACUCCAUGUAUUAGGAGGUCACUGUUCUACUGAAUGAACUUUGCCACUUGCAGAGAAGAGAAGGAUGAGUUUGGUGACUCAGUGUUGCUGUGACCCAUUCCUGGACCCCACCUCCCCAGCUCACCUUUCUUCAGCUUCUCCAGGAGCAUAUCAUCCCGGCACAUCCAGCCCAUGCUCUUCACUAUGUGUGCUGACACCUCCAUGCUGUGGGGCUGCCCAUAGUGGCUGUACAGUAGGCUGGCCAGUGCAGCUGCUGACAGCCCCACCUUGCUCUCCAGCUCAGUGUUUGUACCCAUCUUUGGGCUGGAUCCUCCUGAGGUCCCUCUUGGAUUUUGAGAAGGCACACAUCCCUAGAUGCUCGAGGGUGUACCAUAGGAGAUUGGCCACCAUGUUGUCCAUACUGCCUCCUGAUGCCAUAGUUCCCUGAAGCACUCCUGCAGAUGGGUGCAUGCAGCUGUG
rnacentral:lncRNA from 1 species